rnacentral:rRNA from 1 species
UACGAAGGGGGCUAGCGUUGCUCGGAAUUACUGGGCGUAAAGCGCACGUAGGCGGCUUUCUAAGUCGGGGGUGAAAUCCUGGAGCUCAACUCCAGAACUGCCUUCGAUACUGGAGAGCUUGAGUCCGGGAGAGGUGAGUGGAACUGCGAGUGUAGAGGUGAAAUUCGUAGAUAUUCGCAAGAACACCAGUGGCGAAGGCGGCUCACUGGCCCGAUACUGACGCUGAGGUGCGAAAGCGUGGGGAGCAAACAGGG